rnacentral:rRNA from 1 species
AUUAAUUAUUUAUUAAUAUUCAUUUUAUUAAAAUUAUUUUUGAUAUUUGAUCCUUUCGUACUAAAAUAUCAUUUUUUUUUAAAGAUAGAAACCAACCUGGCUCACACCGGUUUGAACUCAGAUCAUGUAAGAUUUUAAUGAUCGAACAGAUCAAAAUUUUAAACUUUUGCAUUUAAAUUUUAUCUUAAUCCAACAUCGAGGUCGCAAACUUUUUUUCCUAUUUGAACUAAAAAAAAAAAUUACGCUGUUAUCCCUAAGGUAAUUUUUUCUUUUAAUCAUUAUUAAUGGAUCAUUUAUUCAUAAAUUAAUGUAUAAAAUAAAAAAAAGUUAAUUUAAUUUUUCUAUCACCCCAACAAAAUAAUUUAUUUAAUUUUAAUUUUAAAAUUUAUAUAUUAAUAAUAAUUAAAUAAAUUAUCAAACUCUAUAGGGUCUUCUCGUCUUUUAAAUUCAUUUUAGCUUUUUUACUAAAAAAUUAAAUUUUAUAAAUUAAAUAGAGACAGUAUAUAUUUCAUCCAAUCUUUCAUACAAGUCACCAAUUAAGAGACUAAUGAUUAUGCUACCUUUGUACAGUCAAAAUACUGCAGCCCUUUAAUAAUUUAUCAGUGGGCAGAUUAGACUUUAAAUUAUUUUCAAAAAGACAUGUUUUUGAUAAACAAGUGAAUAUAAAUUUUGCCGAAUUCCUUUAAUUAACUUCAAUUAAAUUCAUUUAUUUAUUUAAAUUUAUAUACUAAUUUUAUCAUUAUAUUUAAUUUUAUUUUAUUAAAAUAUAUUUUUUUAUAAAAAUUUAAAUUUUUUUUAUUAAAUUUUAAUUAUAAUUAAAUUAUUUAUAAAAAAUUAUAAUUUAUUAAACAAUUUAAAUUUUAAAAUUUUAAUUAAUUUUAAAAUUAAUUAUAAAAAUUUAUUUUAAAGCUUAUCCCUUAAAAUAUUUAAUAUUAACCGUUAAAAUUUUAUUAAAUAAAAAUUUUAAAUUAUAAUAUUUAAAAUUAAAUUUUUUUCUAAAAAAACUAGAUAUUUUUAAAAACGAUUAACAUUUCAUUUCUAAUUAACUAUUAAAAAUAAUUAUACUACAUUAACUUUUAUAAUUAAUUAACUCUUUUAAAUUCGAGAAAUUUUUACCCAAAAAAUAUUAUUAAUAAACUCUGAUACACAAGAUACAAUAAAUUAAACUUACUUUUUAUUAAAUUAAUUUCCCCUAUUUCAAAAUUCUUUUACAAUACUAUUUUACUAUAAAUUUAAAAAUUUUUUCUAUAUAUAUACUUUAACCCCCAUUAAAAUAUAAUUUAAAAAUUUUUUUAUUAAUAUAAUAAUUAUUAAUUUUUCCCCC